GCUCCUGGUGGUCUAGUGGUUAAGGACGCGGCGCUAUCACCGCAGAGACCCGGGUUCGAUUCCCGGUCGGGGCC